CAAUAGCGUAUAUUAAAGUUGUUGCGGUAAAAAAGCUCGUAGUUGGAUUUCUACCGAAGAUAGCCGGUCGGGUCUUCGACCUUGUAUCUGGUUUUGUCUUUGGUAUCCUCAUAGGGAACGUUUCUGCGCUUUAUUGCGUGGUGCGGUAUCUAUGACUUUUACUUUGAGGAAAUUAGAGUGUUCACGGCAGGCAAACGCCUUGAAUAUAUUAGCAUGGAAUAAUAAGAUAGGACUUUGGUCUAUUUUGUUGGUUUGCAGACCGAAGUAAUGAUUAAUAGGGAUAGUUGGGGGUAUUUAUAUUCCGAUGUCAGAGGUGAAAUUCUUAGAUUUUCGGAAGAUAAACUUAUGCGAAAGCAUUUACCAAGGAUGUUUUCAUUAA
rnacentral:rRNA from 1 species